AGUGAACGCUGGCGGUAGGCCUAACACAUGCAAGUCGAACGGCAGCACAGUAAGAGCUUGCUCUUACGGGUGGCGAGUGGCGGACGGGUGAGGAAUACAUCGGAAUCUACUUUUUCGUGGGGGAUAACGUAGGGAAACUUACGCUAAUACCGCAUACGACCUACGGGUGAAAGCAGGGGAUCUUCGGACCUUGCGCGAUUGAAUGAGCCGAUGUCGGAUUAGCUAGUUGGCGGGGUAAAGGCCCACCAAGGCGACGAUCCGUAGCUGGUCUGAGAGGAUGAUCAGACACACUGGAACAGAGACACGGCCGAGACUCCUACGGGAGGCAGCAGUGGAGAAUAUUGGACAAUGGGGGCAAGCCUGAUCCAGCCAUACCGCGUGGAUGAAGAAGGACUUAGGGUUGUAAAGCCAUUUUGUUGGGAAAGAAAAGCAGCAGGUUAAUACCCCGCUGUUCUGACGGUACCCAAAGAAUAAGCACCGGCUAACUUCGUG
rnacentral:rRNA from 1 species